rnacentral:tRNA from 1 species
GCGGGAUAGCUCAGCUGGUUAGAGCACAUGAUUCAUAAUCAUGAGGUCCCGGGUUCAAGUCCCGGUCCC